rnacentral:rRNA from 1 species
CACGUAGGAUCCGAGCGUUAUCCGGAUUUACUGGGCGUAAAGCGCGUGUAGGUGGUUUGCUAAGUUGGGUGUUAAAUCUCUCGGCUCAACUGGGAGGUGUCGCUCAAAACUAGCAGACUGGAGGAUGGUAGAGGAAGGCGGAAUUCCGGGUGUAGUGGUGAAAUGCGUAGAUAUCCGGAGGAACACCAGUGGCGAAGGCGGCCUUCUGGACCAUUCCUGACACUCCAACGCGAAAGCUAGGGGAGCAAACGGG